rnacentral:tRNA from 2 species
UGGGGCGUGGCCAAGAGGUAAGGCAACGGGUUUUGGUCCUGUAAUUCAAAGGUUCGAAUCCUUUCGUCCCAG